AUAGUAUCCUUCAGAAGAAUCAACUUCAAGGAUUCAAUGGACUAUAAAAGAAAGAGACAGAGAACCCCAGGUUAUCUCUUUCAACUAAGAAGACAAAGGCACCAGCACUUUUGGGCCUCUGGAAGAGAUCCUGACCAAGAAAAGGGUCAGUCACUAUCUUUCAGAAGACUGUGAAAACCUCAAACAUGGCAA